rnacentral:rRNA from 1 species
GGGGAAUAUUGCACAAUGGAGGGAACUCUGAUGCAGCGACGCCGCGUGAGCGAUGAAGGUUUUCGGAUCGUAAAGCUCUGUCCUAAGGGACGAUAAUGACGGUACCUUAGGAGGAAGCCCCGGCUAACUACGUGCCAGCAGCCGCGGUAAUACGUAGGGGGCGAGCGUUGUCCGGAUUUAUUGGGCGUAAAGGGUGCGUAGGCGGCCUUGUAAGUCAGAUGUGAAAUCUCACGGCUUAACCGUGGUAAGCAUUUGAAACUGUGAGGCUUGAGUACAGGAGAGGAGAGUGGAAUUCCUAGUGUAGCGGUGAAAUGCGUAGAUAUUAGGAGGAAUACCAGUGGCGAAGGCGACUCUCUGGACUGUAACUGACGCUGAGGCACGAAAGCGUGGGGAGCAAAC